UUUGAUUCCUCACAAGUUUGAAGUCAAAAGUAGUCUGCUCCCCACCCCUCCCCCCAAUAGGUUGCAAUGAAAUUCCACUCGUCUUCUUAUACUUGUAUUUUUUUGUAGAUCUUUGAUGUUUAAAACAUAUCCCUUGGUGUUUUUUUAAUCAUUUAAAUCCCAUUUUUAGAAACGCGGUUCUUAACUGCAUUCUACAUCUUCCAACAUGUACUCUCUUCUGUUCCACUGGUUUAUGUGCUAUCAAUGUAACUAUCAUAGCAUUAUGUGUUUUAGUAUUAAGUUAUACAUUGAACAUGAGAUUUUUUUCAGAUAAUUUUUAGUAAUAUACAAAAAUACUUGGCAUUUCUUGUCAAGUUUCUAUUCAGUUUCAAUUCUCUGCUGGAUUACUUAGUACAUUGUACUGUAUCUGAAGUGCACACAUUGCUUUAACAUCAAAUCUAUAACAACUUUCAAUGAAUUUAAUGCAAAAUUUUGAUUUUAAUCUUACAUUAGUGAGAAGUAGCGUCAGUAACUCACAGGCAUGCAUUGUUUUCUACUUCCUAGCUGA